rnacentral:rRNA from 1 species
UACAGAGGGUGCGAGCGUUAAUCGGAAUUACUGGGCGUAAAGCGUGCGUAGACGGUUAUUUAAGUCGGGUGUGAAAGCCCCGGGCUCAACCUGGGAAUUGCAUUCGAGACUGAAUAGCUAGGGUACGGUAGAGGGAAGUGGAAUUUCCGGUGUAGCGGUGAAAUGCGUAGAUAUCGGAAGGAACACCAGUGGCGAAAGCGACUUCCUGGACCAGCACCGACGUUCAGGCACGAAAGCGUGGAGAGCAAACAGG